UCGACGAAAUGUUUGUGGUUUUGUAUUAUUUGCGAAAGAAACGAUUAGAGGCAGUUAAAAAAAGGAGAUAUUGGGUACACCCAAUUCUCAGGGAAAGAUUUACCUUAGGAAUAUUUCAGAAUUUGAUAGCUGAAUUAAGAAGUGAUGAAGUGAAAUUUUUCAAUUAUUUUAGAAUGUCUAUAAAUACAUUCAACGAUCUACUAUCUCGGAUAUCAGGAUGCAUAAACUACAAAAAUACAGUAUUUAGAGACUGCAUUUGCACUGAAGAAAGGCUGUCCAUAUUUUUAAGGUAAGAUAACCUAAUUAUAUUAUUUGUUUAUUAACAGAGCUCCGAAAAAUGUAAUGCUAAUUUACCUAAAGUUCGCAGUAGGACGACGAGUUAGACCUUAUAACCACCAAAAAAUAUGAUAUAUUUUUAUUGAUCGCGGGGCGGCGCGGGCGAAAUCGUUCCGACAUCCGACAAAAUGUGAACAGCGCUAUAUUCACUCGUACGCGAGCGAGACACGACACGAUUUUUUUCCGGGCUGGGAGGGCUGGCAAAACGCACGACAUUUUAUGUCGUAUCCGACACGAAAUCGUUGUCGGACGAGUGUGAACAGCUUCAUAUAAAAUGUUCUGCCAGUGGAACGUACGAUUAAAAAUCGCCACGACAUCCGACAUAGUGGGAACGAGCUCUUACAUAUAAGGUUGAUCUAAAUAUACUCAAUUUUGUUUCAUUCUCAAUAUUAAGGAAUUUUGUAGUCAAUUAGCAUUAAUUUUAGUGUUUUUGCAGCUCUAAACUACUACUAACUCAUUACCAACAGGAGAUGGGUACUGUUUUUUUUUUUAUCUGUAACCAUAUACUGUUCGUUGACUUUUUUUUUCACAAAAUAUUAACAGCGUUAUUUAAGUAUUUUAGGUGUUUCAGUAACUUUACUGUCAAUAUUACACUGUAUUGACAGUAAUAUGCCAAAAAUAGUGGACUCAAGACAUGGUUUAUACAUUUUGUAACAUUUUCCUUAUAAUAUUGAGGCAUUUUUGAGAAGUCAUUUGCUGAGACAAAGUUUCCAUUUUUUCUCGAUACCUGGUAAAGGGUUAAUCCCAGACCCAUGCUGUGAUGAUUGACCUCUCUUUAUUCAAUGUACGAUUUAAAUGUAUUGUUACAAAGCCUAUUCUAAAUCAUAUGGUAUUGUCAGUUUUGCAAGGUCUAAGUGGAGUCUCAGUUGGUUAGAAUGGUAAGUGUCGGUUUGGACAUAAAAAUCAUGUUUCAGCCGAUGGUUCGGUUUCAGCCGAGACUAGAGCAUAAGGUUUCGGCAAACAAUCUGAUUUCGGUCGGAUAUUAGUACUUACCUAAAUAUGUCCUAUAGGUAUAACAAUACCCAAUACUUACGUGUGUGUCUCACCUUUUAAAAAUAGGAGGUAGGUAUAUAUAAUCUCGAGUACUUUUCCAUCUAUUGGUCUCAGCCUAUUGCUUCUUUUUAUAAAAAUGUCUGUGUUCACUGUAUUCAGAUCAAUGUUUCGUCUAUCGAUGUUUUUAUCUCACUGUGAUUUCAAUAUUAUUGUUUGUUGUAAAUAUUAAAUGGUAUUGUUUA